UACGUAGGGACCGAGCGUUGUCCGGAAUCAUUGGGCGUAAAGAGCGUGUAGGCGGCCUUUUAAGUCCUGCGUGAAAUCCUGCGGCUCAACCGCAGACGGUCGUGGGAAACUGGAAGGCUAGAGUGCGGGAGAGGAGAGUGGAAUUCCCGGUGUAGCGGUGAAAUGCGCAGAUAUCGGGAAGAACACCUAUGGCGAAGGCAGCUCUCUGGGACGGUACUGACGCUGAGACGCGAAAGCGUGGGGAGCGAACAGG
rnacentral:rRNA from 1 species